AAACAGGGAGUUAUAAAAAGUGCGCUUGUGUGGGACCUGGAUGCUUCUUUAAAUUCUUCAGUUGCUCCUUCAUCAGUUUUUAAAGACUUUUUCUUCCCAAACGACGUUGCUUUUGUCUCCUAAACUUGGCUGAUGGAGCUCAGUGAGAAUCCUGGAGAUCACUCUGGUCCAAAGGACCACAGCUCUGCAACAAACCCACUCACCACUAGAGGGCGUAAACGUGAGCGGACCGCCCUGACCACUCCUGUAGGGGGCAGCACCUUCAGAGACUGGUCAAAAGAACUCAUCAUGAACUUCAAAAAGCCACGAUGUUUAACUCCUGUAGGGGGCAGCACCUUCAGAGAUCGCUCAAAGCAGAGACUCAUAAACUUCAAAAAGUCCCGUCGUUUACAUAAUAUAUCAGUGAUAAAGACGACCACGCCCACUCCACUGGUCCUGAUGAGGCCCGAUGAGGACAAUCACCUACUCCCCCUCCUCUGGACCUCCCUCCUCCGGACCUCCCUCCUCUGGACCUCCCUCCUCUGGACCUCCCUCCUCUGGACCUCCCUCCGGACCCUGACCUCCCUCCUCCGGACCUCCCUCCGGACCCUGACCUCCCUCCUCCGGACCUCCCUCCUCUG
ensembl:lncRNA